rnacentral:lncRNA from 1 species
UGAAAACUAAGUUUAUAAAAUCAUCUUAGCUGUAAAUAAUGUCUUUUUUUUCAGCAGAGACUCACCCUAUAUCUCUGUUGUAAGGAAAGGACAUCACUUUAUCUCACAGUCUAUCAAUCAGCUUUGAAAUGCAAAUUUUGAGCGAUAACAAAGAGAUCACAUCACUUGUAGAAAAUAUCUGAUCAGUGGUAUGAAGUUUUCAAUAAAGGCUCUUGUGGGCAGGCUGGCACCAAGUCAUUUCUGCUGUACUUCCUCAACCCAUUCUUACAGCAGUUUCUGUUUCGGUGGCAGAAGCAGGAAAAAAAAAAAAGGUAAGGAUAAAGAGCAUUCACAGCACAUGCUUUAGCUGGGGUAGGGGUUGUUUAUUUGUUUUUGUCACUAACAUAUUCUGAAGCUUGAAAAAUUUAAUCCAUGCCUAAUUUGUUAGUUCAUACAAUACGAAACAUUUUGUUUUAAUUGUUUUGUUUGCUUAUUUGACUGAAGCACUUACAUUCCAAGUGAUUCUAGUCCACUUACUUUUAAGAAAAAAACUUAAAUUUUUUUAAAUGAAAAUUUCAAUUCUAGGCUGGUAUGCACCAACCUUUAAGAGAUCAAUAACAAAUAAUUCCAUACAUGAGGUCAACGUGUUCUGUCAUCCAGACAUGUGUUCUGCUCCCCGGGGAAGGCCCAU